GGUCUGGAACUGAGUGUUGGGGUUAGAGAAGGGAGAGGGUCUGGAACUGAGUGUUGGGGUUAGAGAGAGGAGAGGGUCUGGAACUGAGUGUUGGGGUUAGAGAGAGGAGAGGGUCUGGAACUGAGUGUUGGGGUUAGAGAAGGGAGAGGGUCUGGAACUGAGUGUUGGGGUUAGAGAGAGGAGAGGGUCUGGAACUGAGUGUUGGGGUUAGAGAAGGGAGAGGGUCUGGAACUGAGUGUUGGGGUUAGAGACAGGAGAGGAG